CUUUUUGCUAUUUCUUGGGCCGCUCUCGCGGCAUAUGGAGGUUCCCAGGCUAGGGGUCUAAUCGGAGCUGUAGCCACCGGCCUACGCCAGAGCCACAGCAACGCGGGAUCCGAGCCACGUCUGCAACCUACACCACAGCUCACGGCAACGCCAGAUCGUCAACCCACUGAGCAAGGGCAGGGACCGAACCCGCAACCUCAUGGUUCCUAGUCGGAUUCGUUAACCACUGCGCCAUGAUGGGAACUCCAGAGACCUCUUCUUGAAAACAUUAUGAUAAAAACGGUAUAUGAAACUACAUCUUCAAAUUAAAACAUAUAUAGUCCUUAUAAUUAUCUUGUUUUGGAGAAAAAUUAAAAUGUCUGAUAGCACAAUAAAAUUUUGUAUCUCUUAAUAGAGAAAGCAUUACUCUGUGGCCAAGUGUCAUGCAAUCUAAUCAAAGAGACUGACCACCUUUUUGUCAAAUAUCACAUUUUCAUCAAGAUUUAAUUAAGGAGCUUUUCUUCCUAUUGAUCCCAGAUAUUAUAUGAUACUAUAGCUAAUGCCUCAAAAUCUUCCAUGCAUGGAGGCAAAGUACAUUUAUGUAAUUAUAAAUCUAAUACACAAAAGUUUCCUAAGUAUGUAAAUUGCACUUAUAAAAACUCAUAACACUAAAAUGUAGAAAUCACAUCACUAAUUUAACAUAUCAACUACUUUCGAAGGCUCUAAACUAUUUUAAAAUGGAAAAAAUAGAUAAAUUAUUCCAUUAUUCUAAAACUCAUUGUUAUACUUGCAUUAAACCUAGCAUAAAAAUCCUGACACCAAGGAUCUAACUAAUCCUUUGGCACAUUUCUCUUCAGAUCUCACAAUAAUCAAAAGACACUCAAAAGGAAAAAGAUAUCAUUACAUCCUAUCUGGAUUAUGGGGGGGGGGUAUUAUUAUUAUUAUGGAGUAAGUGGUUCUUGGUUGGGACAUGAAUCUGGAGUGAAAUUUCCAAGGUGAUUCAACUUUGUGCCAAUAUUCUCCAAGCCUUUUUUAUUUUUUUAAGUCUAGGUUUCUUUGCUAAACCAAUAGUAUGUUUUCUAUCUUUCCUUGCACAGAAUUUUCAUAUUUUUAUAAAUUAUCUUUUUCUGAAAUAGUGUGUCCUUUAGUAUCAACUUAGUAUCACUUUGUUAGUAACAGGUUUACUUAGUUUAGUAAGUUUAGAAAUUAGUGAAUUAAUUUGGAGCUUCUCUUCAAACAAAAAAAAAAAAACUUUGAGUAAUUUAAAUGGAGAGGAGUAUUCGAGACUAAAAUUUGGAGUCAUCUGAAUUUCACCUAGAUAACAAACAAUUUCUAGAGGUAGGGGAGAUGAAUACUUUUUGGGAUAGAACUUAAAAAUAGAUUUAUCCUUGAGGAAAAACUCACAAUGACAGUUAUAAUUUAGUAACUUGAUUUUUUUUCUUAAAUAAUCUUGCAUUUAUUUUCUCCACAGUGUAUUUCAGAUUUCAUCGGAUUGCCUCUAUAACUACAUCUUCUUUUAAAAUUCUCUUCUGUUUCAUGGACCAUAAUUCUGUAGUUAACCACUAACAUCACUAACUUUCUAAAGGAAGUUGGCCUGAUUGUAUGACCAGUUUAGGAAGAAACAGGAUGAACUUAAUUUGGUGUCAUUAACUGGCACUGAUUUGUGCUUUCUUUGAACUCUUCUACCCUGCAGAACUUUUCCUUGGACAUCAUUUUUCUUGAUCAGCUUCCUGCUGACACCACAUAAAGCUGCUUGCUCCCUAACCUACCCCUUUUCUCCACUGCCCUGCCUUUCCCUUUUAAGCAUGUUUUCAGCUGGACACUAAUUCACUUCAAGAAAGGGGCUCCCCAAAUUUUUUUUUUUUGUAUUUCUGAAUUAUAUAACACCAAUUCUGUUCUAUUGUAAGAUACAAAUCAUCCACAUACAGAAAAUUCUGUAUUUUUUAUAGUUCCAGUUGGAAAGAUUAGGCACAAUUUUAAAGUUGCAUUGCCACUUAGCUACAAUUAACUGACUUCCUGGUAUAUGAAAAAUGUUAACCUAGUGCAAACCUGUGGCCCUUAUAAUAGUAAUAUCCUAAGUAGUUAAUAUUCUUGUCAUCUCCAGGCUAUUCUACAUACAAACAAUGUGCAUAAAGAAUUGAAGACAUACAUAAUCCUCAAGAUUGGGAAAACUGUUUUUCAAUAUGAAAAACAGCAUACAUUUUGCUGGUGCAAAAAAUCUGAUAGAUAAUCACCUGAGAAAUGAACUUUCCUGCCGAGGAAAAGCGGAAUUUUACUGGUGUUGAAAUGAUAAUUUAUAGAAUAAAAAUCACAAGCCAAUCCAACAUUCAAUAUUAAUUAUAUUGAGUCAUAUUUCAAAAAAUUGUUGGAGAUAAUUUACUAAUUUGUCUAAAUAUAUCUUGCAAAGAUCAUGGUCAGCUUUAUCCAACUGCUGCUUAUAUUUGGGUCCCAUAGGAAGUGAUUAGAUAUAUUUAUUAGUUUAACCACCUCUCUUUUGCAAAAAUGUGUUUUCUAUUUGUGCCAGUUAUCAAUUUAUUGUGUUUCAGCUCUAAAUCCAUCCUUCACUGCCCUAUUUGUGAUACUGGAGCUGGACCUUGUAAAUAUUUCUCCUUUGCCAGCUGGCAAAAUGUUAAACUUUGCCAGUAGAGGGCUCUGAAGGGCUGCUGCUGUAGAAAAGGGUUAGUAUUCCUAGUCUUGUGUUUUCCUUCCUUUUUCCUGCUGCAAAUCUCAGCUGAGUAAGGGAGUGUCAGGGAGGCUCACCCAUAGCCAGUGUCAAGGACAUCUCCAUGGGCAGCUUAGCUAAAUAAACAACACUCACCACUGGCCGCUUCCUAAUUUUCUUGGCAUCCCAACUGAUGAUUUCCUGACCAUCAGCCUUGGCCUGGUUCUCUUCAAUGAACUCCUCCACUAUCCAGUGUGUUACAGCUAUGCUCCCUCCAAUAAGAUCUAAAUUUCAGCCUUGGAGGGAGGGGAUUCCCCCAGAUCUGUCUCUCCCUUCAAUAUAUUGCCUCAGCCCUGUGAGCCCCUAUAUCCUCUAUUCUUCUAUGCUUUAGAGUUCUUCUUAUGCUUAGUAGUCAAGCCCUGUUGCACAAAUACUGUUAUGAAUGAAAAGUCUUUAUAUAAAACUCUCCCUAAAUAAAAUUUCCAUCUGAUUUCUGUCUUCUAACUUCAGAGUGAGUGACACACUAUUCAUAAGAAUAUUUUGAAGAACUCAACUUUACAAAUCUCACUGUGACCACAAAUUCAAAAUCUUGUACCAUCUGCCCACAAACUAUCAUUUUCAAUGGCCAUCUCCCUGGUCCACAAAGGCUAUCUGGGAAAUAUUUUACUUGGCAGAUAGAAAAAUCACCAGAAAUUAUUUUUCCCUUUUAUUCAUGUUCUUUUGUUGUAAUAUUGUCCAUAUUGACCACUGGCUGGUGGUAUAACUUGUCUGGGCUGAUUGAACUGUAAUGAAUCUAAUAUGAAGAAAGGCUUAAAAAGUGCUUGUGCAAUGGGGCUUGCCUUCUUAUGUUGUAUAGAACCCAGAGACUACUAUUUAGUGAGUCUGAGCUAAUUUACCAAAGAUAGAGACACCCCAUGAAAGAUAACUUAAGAUACCCUGACAAAUGGUUGUCAGUGAGUCCAUUCUAGAUCAGGCAGCCAACAGCCAAUCCAUCAGUGGACUACAUCAAGCUGAUCCAGACCUCCCAGUAGACCUACAGAGUCAUGAGUUACAUAAAUUGAGUGCUAUAUUAAAAAAAUACUAGAUUUUGUGCACCUCAAAAAAUCAAAUACCUCAGAAUACACCUGACCAAGGAGGUAAAGGACUUAUAUGCAGAGAACUAUAAAACACUAAUCAAAGAAAUUAAAGAAGAUGUAAAGAAAUGGAAAUAUAUUCCAUGUUCAUGGAUUGGAAAAAAUCAAU
rnacentral:lncRNA from 1 species